CCUACCUUCCCCUUUCCCGCCAAUCUCCUUCCUAUCCCGCUCUCACCCAUCAAUUGCCAACCUAGAGAAUGUCGGCUUCCGGCAACGCUGAAGUCCACAUCAACGCCUUCGCCGCCUUCCUCAUCCACCACCACUCCUCCAAUCUCCGUUCCAUCCUCCUCUCCCCCGACUGCUCCCUCCACUACCCUCUCCUCAUCGACUUUGCGGAGCUACUGGACUUCGAUCCUCCCCUCGCCCACCUCCUCUUCUCCCGUCCCUCCGAUCUCCUCCCCCUCUUCGAUGAAGCCGCUUUCCGCGCCCAGGGCGUCAUUCUUAGUGCUUCCGAGGAGCUGGGAGAAGGCGCCAGCCGGAAGGACCACGUCCAUGUCCGGAUCAACGUCUGCGGUUCCCCCUUGGAAUGCCCCGAGGCCUUCCCUAGCAUCGGGAGGGUCAGGGUGAAGCACCGGGGGAUUUUGCUCACUCUGAAGGGGACUAUCAUUAGGUCUGGAGCCAUCAAGAUGAUCGAAUUGGAGCGCUUGUAUGAGUGCAGAAAGUGCAAGCACAGGUUCAAGGUUUAUCCGGAACUGGAAACUGGAAAUAGUAUAAGAUUGCCUGCCUCUUGUCCAUCUCGAAACUUUUCUCAUCAGGGGUCUAAAUCUUGUGAGGGGGCACAUUUCCAAUAUGUAGAGGAUAGUAAAGUAUGCCAUGAUUACCAAGAGAUCAAAAUCCAAGAAAGCACACGGCUUCUGGGCAUUGGAUCUGUACCUCGUUCGAUUCAAAUUGUUUUGAUGGAUGACCUUGUUGAUGUUGUCAAAGCUGGAGAUGAUGUCAUAGUUACGGGAAUUUUAUCAGCAAAAUGGUCCUCGGAUUUUAAAGAUGUGCGUUGUGACCUGGAUCCUAUUUUAAUUGCUAACUAUGUGAGAAGAACCAAUGAGUUGAAGUCAGAGAUCGACAUUCCUGAUGAUGUUAUCAAGGAUUUUGAGCAAUUCUGGUCAGACUACAGAGAUACUCCAUUGAAGGGGAGAAAUGCCAUUCUGCAAGGAAUUUGCCCUCAAAUCUUUGGUCUCUUCACAGUGAAGCUUGCAGUUGCUUUGACUUUGAUUGGAGGUGUGCAACAUGUUGAUGCUUCUGGGACAAAGAUUCGUGGAGAAUCUCACCUGCUUCUUGUUGGUGACCCAGGUACCGGGAAGUCUCAGUUUUUGAAGUUUGCAGCCAAGUUGAGCAACAGAUCUGUGAUUACUACUGGGUUGGGGAGCACCAGUGCAGGCUUAACUGUCACUGCUGUCAAGGAUGGUGGGGAGUGGAUGCUCGAGGCAGGGGCCCUUGUUUUAGCUGAUGGUGGACUUUGUUGUAUAGAUGAAUUUGAUAGCAUGCGACAGCAUGACAGGGCAACCAUACAUGAGGCGAUGGAGCAACAAACAAUAAGUGUUGCCAAGGCUGGCCUCGUGACAACUUUGAGUACCAGGACCAUUGUUUUUGGUGCAACUAAUCCAAAAGGACAAUAUGAUCCUUCUCAACCUUUAUCCGUCAAUACAACUCUAUCUGGACCAUUGUUGAGCAGAUUCGAUAUUGUCCUUGUCCUUUUGGAUACAAAAAAUCCUGAAUGGGAUGCCAUUGUGUCAUCUCAUAUUUUAGCUGAGAAAGGAGAAUCAAGAAAAAAGAAAAGAGAUGAAGACUUUGACAAUGUCUGGUCGGUACCAAUGCUGAGGAGGUAUAUCCACUAUGUAAAGCAAUGUUUUACACCAGUGCUUACAAAGGAGUCAGAAAGUGUUAUUUCGAGUUAUUAUCAACUUCAGAGAAGAUCAGCAACACAUAAUGCAGCUAGGACCACGGUGCGCAUGCUUGAAAGUUUGAUACGAUUAGCCCAAGCACAUGCAAGGCUCAUGUUCAGGAAUGAGGUCACCCAGCUUGAUGCUAUUGCUGCCAUCUUAUGCAUUGAAUCAUCAAUGACAACAUCUGCCAUUGUGGACAGUGUUGGGAAUGCUUUACACUCCAACUUUGCUGAUAAUCCUGAUCAAGAAUAUGCCAAGCAAGAGAAGAUGAUCCUUGAGAAGCUUUGAAUGAUAGAUGAGUUCCGAUAAAACCUGUAGAAACAUGGAAUAGUUGAAUUACAUAUGUAAAAGCCAGAAAUUUGCUAUAGCCAUCAUGAUUAGGAUUGUCGGACAUUGCAAGCAUGAUUAUUGCAUAUUUGUGAGUGUGUUACUCAAGUACAUAUCACCAAUGAGAGGGAUUAUUUUGGUGGAAGUUGUUGACAUCAUUUAUUACUUCGUUGGCAGGAACUAGAUGUGUAUGAUGAUAUAGGAAGAAAUGAGUACUUGAUUUUCAACUCGACCACUUUUGUAUGGACUAACAGGUAGCUGUCACCUUCAUCUGAAAUGAGACUCCUUCCCACAGUCCCCAUUAAUGUGAUAAGAGGAAUCAUAUAUUUUUUACAAUCACAUUCAGUGUAAUGUACAACAUUAUAAGCAAACAAUGUCUUCCUGUUUCCCAUUGUUUAUUUAUUAUUUGUCC